rnacentral:tRNA from 1 species
UCUAAUAUGGCAGAUUAGUGCAUUGAAUUUAAGCUUCAAAUAUAAAAGAAUUCUUUUUUUUAGAA